GUCUGCGGCAGGGCGGUGAUGACCCCGGCGAUCAGCAGGCCGCCGAGCGCGGUGAGCAGCAGCGCGCGCCGGGUCGCUUCGGCUUGCAGGCU
rnacentral:tRNA from 1 species